rnacentral:rRNA from 1 species
UUUUUAAUGAAAUAAUAUUAAAUAAUCCCUGCUCAGUGAAUAUUCAACAGCUGCAGAAUUUUAACUGUACUAAGGUAGCAAAAUAAUUAGCCUUUUCAUUGAAGGCCAGAAUAAACGGGUUUACGGGAACUCUAUGUCUCUUUACCUUUUCUCGAAUUUACUCUUAUAGUAAAAAAUUCUAUACCUUUAAAGAAAGACGACAAGACCCUAUCGAACUUAACUUCAGUUUUACUGGGGCGGUAUAUAGAAAUAAAACUUCUUUUCUUUCUUUACUAUAAAAAUAAACAAGUUACCGUAGGGAUAACAGCAUAAUUUUAUUUUAGAGACCAAAUCUUCAAUAAAGAUUAUGACCUCGAUGUUGAAUAGAAUCCGCUUGGGUGAAAAAGCUCUCCUAGUAAGUCUGUUCGACUUUUAAAAUUCUACA